rnacentral:lncRNA from 1 species
GGGGGCUCGAGACGAUCAGAUACCGUCCUAGUCUCAAACCAUAGAACGAAUGCCGACCAGGGAUCAGCGAUGUUUGCUUUUAAGGACUCCGCUGGCACCUUAAUGAGAAAUCAAAGUUUUUGGUUCGGGGGGAGUAUGGUCGUCAAGGCUGAAACUUAAGGAAUUGACGGAAGGGCACCACCAGGGAUGGAAGCCUGCGGC